CUCCUAUAACCUAACCAAGCUUCUUCUUGCUUCUCAAAGCUUUGAUGGUCUAGCCGUAGUCGGUUGAGUCUUUGGCUUUGUAUCUUCUAACAAGGAUACAAUACUUAGGCUUUUAGGAUCCGGUUG
rnacentral:sRNA from 1 species